rnacentral:rRNA from 1 species
AACGAACGCUGGCGGCAUGCCUAACACAUGCAAGUCGAACGAGACCUUCGGGUCUAGUGGCGCACGGGUGCGUAACGCGUGGGAACCUGCCCUUAGGUUCGGAAUAACUCCCCGAAAGGGGUGCUAAUACCGGAUAAUGUCUUCGGACCAAAGAUUUAUCGCCUUUGGAUGGGCCCGCGUUGGAUUAGCUAGUUGGUAGGGUAAAAGCCUACCAAGGCGACGAUCCAUAGCUGGUCUGAGAGGAUGAUCAGCCACACUGGGACUGAGACACGGCCCAGACUCCUCCGGGAGGCCGCAGUGGGGAAAAUGGGACAAUGGGCGAAAGCCUGACCCACCAAUGCCGCGGGAGUGAUGAAGGCCUUAGGGUUGUAAAGCUCUUUUACCCGGGAUGAUAAUGACAGUCCCGGGAGAAUAAGCCCCGGCUAACUCCGU